GGAUCACCUCCUGAGUCGAUAUGAGCAUGUCCGUCUGUCCGCCUGUCUGUCUGUUUCUACGCAAACGAGUUUCUCAGUUUUAAAACUAUCGAGAUGAAACUUUGCACACAUCCUUCUUUUGUUUGCCGGCAGUUUGUGAGUUGGAACGGCCGGAAUCGGUCGACUAUAUGCUAUAGCUGCCAUUUAACUGAUUGAUCGGAAAUGCCACAACUUUAUUGUUUCUUAAGUUAAAGGGUUAGGAUUUCAUAAAUGUUAUAUUUGGCUAGAAUAUCUUACCUACAAAAUUUCAUAAGGAUCGGCCGACUAUAUCCUAUAGCUUUCAUAUAACUGAUUGAUCGGAAAUGCCAUUACCUGGGUGGUUUUUUAGUUGAAAAGAUGGUACUUGGUACAGAUUCCAUUUUGGGCAAUCUAAUCCGAUCUGCCAAAUUUUAUAAGGGUUGGUCGACUAUAUCCUAUACCUGCCAUAUAUCUGAACGAUCGGAAAUUGCACAACCUUGCAAUUUUUAAAUUAAUGGUUAAAAAUGUUUUUUUUCUCAACAAAUACAGAUUUUUAGGGUGUAAUGAAUAUUUGAAACACUGAACAGCAAAGAAUUGGGCAUUCCCAAUGGGCCCGGGUUCAAAGUUGACUAGGCCAUCUUUUUAUAUCCUUGCAGAGGGUAUUAUAAUUUUGGUUAAAAGUGUGCAACGCAGUGAAGGAGACAUCUCCGACCUUAUAAAGUGUAUAUAUUCUUGAUCAAGGUCACCUCCUGAGUCGAUAUAAGCAUGUCCUUCUGUCUGUCUUUCCGUCGGUCCGUCUGUCUGUCGGUUUCUACGCAAACUAGUCUUUCAGUUUUAAAGCUAUCGAGUUGAAACUUUGCACACAUCCUCCUUUUCCUUGCGGGUAGUAAAUAAGGCGGAACGGCCGGGAUCGGUCGACUAUAUCCUAUAGCUGCCAUAUAACUGAUUGAUCGGAAAUGCCAUAACUUUGGUGUUUUUUAAGUUAGAGAGUUGUGUCUUUCCACACAUGUUAUAUUUGACUAAAAUAUUUUAUGUACAAAAUUUCAUAAGGAUCGGCCGACUAUAUCCUAUAGCUGUCAUAGGACGAUAGGAAUCGGCAGAACUUUGGAGUUUUUUUAGUUAGAAAGAUGGGACUUGGUACAGAUUCUAUCUGGGAAAAAUAAUCUGAUUUUCCAAAUUUCAUAAGGACUAUAUCCUAUAGCUGCCAUAUAACUGAACGAUCGGAAUUUGCAUAAUUUUGCCGUUUAUUAAGUUAGAAAGAUGGGACUUGGUACACAUUCCAUUUUUGGCAAAAUAAUCUGUUCUGCCGAAUUUCAUAAGGAUCGGCCGACUAUAUCAUAUAGCUGCCAUAUAACUGAACGAUCGGAAUUGGCAUAACUUUGCUGUUUUUUAAGCCAGAAUGAUGGGACUUUCUACGGAUUCCAUUUUGGGCAACCGAAUCAGAUCUGCCAAACAUCAUAAGGAUCGGCCAACUUUACGCUAUAGCUCCCAUAUAAAUGAACGAUCAGAUAUGGAACAACCUUAACUGCAAGGGUAUAUCAACUUCGGCUCCGCCCGAAGUUAGCUUUCCUUUCUUGUUUAUGAAAUGUUUUUAUCAUUUAUUACUAUUAUUAAAUAAUUAAACAAACCCGUUUUUACAUUGUUCGUCUAUUUAUUGCUUAUGUGGCUCAUCCCGUGUGGCCUGCUCAAGAAAUCGAUUUUUAUACCUUUGCCGAGGGUAUUAUAAUUUUGGUCAAAAGUGUGCAACGCAGUGAUUUUUAGAAGUAUUUUUUAGAAGGAUACUCGCAACAAUUGUCUAUAUUUGCAAAGAAAGGAUAUAGAAUUAUUGCGAUUGCGUUCAAGGCUCUUGACCCAAAAGUUAACUACACAAAAAUUCAGCGGUUUUCCCGUGAAGAUGUGGAAAAUUAUCUUGAAUUUCUUGGUUUCGUUAUACUGGAGAAUCGUUUAAAGCCAGACACAACUUAAGUAAUCAAUACAAUAAAUGCGGCGAAGAUUCGAAUUAUAAUGAUCACUGGUGACAACAUUUUAACAGCUAUCAGUGUUGCUCGUGAUUGUGGCAUAGUUAACUCAUCUCAAGCAGUGAUUACUUUCCAUGCAGAUCCGGUUAACAGAUCUGAACACAAUUCUGAUGAUAGUAACCGUCAUAAUAUUAAAAUGAGUAGCGACCAGAAUAGGCAAUACCAGUUACAAUACACAUUAGAUACGGGCAGUAAUAUUUGUGCUUCACAUCAAUUAUCUAAUAAUGGUAAUUUUUUUUUACAAGAAAGCACUGCAAGUAACUGCAGCGCCGAGAGUACGAUGAAUCUUCCCCGUAUAACAUCAAUAACUCCUUCGAAAAUGAAUCUUAUAAAAGUUAUAAUGAAAGCGUUGUACGUUUAAGUAAUAGUUCGGCAAGUGUAGAGACCAUAGAUACGUGGACUCACAAUGAUACAACAGAUGUUCACGUAGAAAUUGAAACAAUCAUUAUGCAAGAAAGUAAAUGGCAGCAACAAUAUACAUUUGCAAUGGAUGGAAACACCUGGCAUAUCGUAAAAGAUCAUUUCCCCGAGGAACUCGGAAUUAUAUUAACACGCGGAUCAAUUUAUGCACGUAUGUCCCCUGAGCAGAAACAAGCUUUAGUUAUGGAACUCCAAAAUGUUGACUACUGUGUAGCUAUGUGUGGCGACGGGACUAAUGAUUGCGCCGCUCUAAAGGCUGCGCAUGUUGGUAUUUCGCUUAGCGAAACUGAAUCCUCUAUAGCAUCCCCAUUUACUUCCCAUAAUUCUACGAUUUCAGCGGUUAUAAAUAUUAUAAAAGCUGCAUUGGUAACAUCUUUUGGUAUUUUUAAGUACAUGGCCGCCUAUUCGCUUGUCCAGUUCAUAUCUGUAAUGAUAUUGUAUUCAAUCGACUCCAACUUGGCAGAUAAACAGUAUCUCUAUGUUGACCUUGGGCUAAUUUCGAUAUUUGCCUUUUUUUUUGAAAAACGGAAUCUUUUGAUGGAAAAUUAGUAAAGCAAGUGCCGCUUAGCUCUUUAAUUUCUACGACACCCCUGGCCUCGCUUUUACUUCACCUUGCUGCCGUCACAAUUUUUCAGGUGACGGGUUGGUUUCACCUACAACAACAACCAUGGUUCACACCUUUUCAACAAACUGAUGAGGAAAAUUUAGGUUGUUAUGAAAAUAUACAAUGUUUUGCAUAUCUAGUUUUCAGUACAUAAUUCUGGCGUUUGUUUUUUCCAAAGGUGCCUCUUACAGACAACCCUUGUGGUCAAACUUUUCGCUUUGCUUAGCAUUUAUUGUUAAUCUUAUUAUCAUAGUUUAUUUGGCAAUUUAUCCCAGUGAAUGGGUAUCAAAUUUUUUCAACUCAUAGUACCUCCAGCAAUGAAAUUUCGAUAUAUUAUAGUUAUUUACGGCAUUGCUGCAUUUAACUUUAUUUCCAGGUUUUUGAAUCGUCGCUUAGAUAAUUUAAAGUAUACAAUUUUGUUAUACUCUAUAAAUAAAUUGCUGCGAAUGAAAUAUGUAUAUAUUAUAUAAAUUUUAUUGUAUAAAAAAGCGCACUAGCGCAAAAGCGAACUUUCAAUGCACAUAAAUUAUUCUUGCUAGCAGUAAAAUACAAGUAGUUGUACGAUAUGAUGUACAAAAGUUCUGUUUUUUGGUUAUAAAUAAAAUAAUAUAAAUGGAAUGAUUAAAUAGAUUAAAGGUAA